rnacentral:rRNA from 1 species
GUGUCAGCAGCCGCGGUAAGACAGAGGGGGCAAGCGUUGCUCGGAAUCACUGGGCGUAAAGGGCGCGUAGGCGGGAUGGCAAGUCAGUCGUGAAAUCUCUCGGCUCAACCGAGAAACGUCGGCUGAUACUGCCGUUCUUGAGGGAUGCAGAGGAGACUGGAAUUCCCGGUGUAGCGGUGAAAUGUGUAGAGAUCGGGAGGAACACCGGUGGCGAAGGCGGGUCUCUGGGCAUUUCCUGACGCUGAGGCGCGAAAGCGUGGGGAGCAAACGGGAUUAGAAACCCCCGUAGUCC